rfam:Charadrius vociferus contig8129, whole genome shotgun sequence.
CCAAAGGCUCUUUUAAGAGCCACCAAUUUUUUUCACGUAGGAGAG